CUCUGUAUCGUGCUAAGUACUUCCCAUGCUGAGGAAGCACAGACACAUGUGAGUGCACAGCAGGACCUGGGAUUAGACUCUGCAUGGACGAGAGCUUUGUGUCUAGGCUUUCAUUUGCUCCAAGCAGUGAUAUUCAGGACGUGAUCAGACCUUGAAAAUGGGCCUCAGCAUUGGAUGUGAACACAGGCUGUGCUGACAGAAGGCAGCUUUUACUGGCACAACAGGUCAUGCAGCUCAGGCCUAACACUGGUAGAAAAGAUCUGAAUUAAUGCCAGCAGCAAAGGUGGUUUUUUGUACAGUCAUCUCAAAGGAAGGGAACUGGAGACCGGUGAUUUGCUGAGCAGCCCUCAGAUGCUAAUCACUUUCAGCACUUCUAGAACAUCUGCAGGGGACUCCCUCACACUGGUGGGUUGAAGAAAUUGCAGAGCACAAGGGAGAAGUGUUUGCUUGGUGGGAGAGCAGCCAAGGAACCCCAGCCAGCCUGGUACUUCCUGCAGGUGCUAUAUGAUGAAAUGGAGAUAUGUAAGAACCACAGGAAGCAUUUAUUUUAAGUACAAGCUAAUGCCAUGAAUGUUAUUUGCAUUACAUGACAGCCCAAUGAACCACAAUAUGAAUAAGGAAAGGAAAAACUAGUGUUUUCAUGAUGGGAUUUCCUUGGGAGAUUGCCUUGAUUGUCUGCUCACACUUUUCUUCAGCUUCACUCAGGCAGUGCCUGCAGAGGGGAUGUGGAGAUCUGAAGCUGGAGAUCUGUAAGGAGAAUGGAAGGUGAGCUAUGAGUAGCCACCAACUUUGCUAUCUAGCCCACAGCAGGAGGCAAUUAGGAAGGCCCAAAGGUACCUUCAUGAUGUCACAAAAAAACACCCUGGAAGGUGACUUUGUUGUGUACAGGACAGGCAAGUAAAAAGUGACCUCUCGAAAGAUGUAUUGAACAACAAUCCCUUGUUCACUCCCUACAAAUA